rnacentral:misc_RNA from 1 species
AAGUCGUAACAAGGUUUCCGUAGGUGAACCUGCGGAAGGAUCAUUAUCGUGGGGCUUCGGCCCUCUCGAGAUAGAACCCUUGCCUUUUUGAGUACCUUUCGUUUCCUCGGCGGGCCCGCCCGCCAAUGGGGACCACAAAAAACCCUUUUGUAAUACCUGUAAUCGUCUGACAAAACAAACAAAAAUUAAAACUUUCAACAACGGAUCUCUUGGUUCUG